GACAACAGAGAGGCCAAGACACUUCUAUGGUCUUCGGGCUAGUCAGGAUUAGAGACGAUUUUCCAUCUCAAGGACCACCUAUCAAGAGUUGCUAAACUGGUUCAUAGGAGGAUCCCAUAAGUACAACGUCUCCUACUAAUGAGUAAGAACUUUCUGGCAGCUGGAUAUGUCCCAAGACAAUAUCAACAUACCUCCCACUCCCACCAAGGUUGUCUAACAAGACUUCAUAACAGGAUGAAUCUAAAACUUGUAUUUAACACAGACCAGGACCUGAGCCUUCAAGAGAUUACCUAAGUCACCCGACAGGACACACCAGACCACACCAGGGACAACACCAAAGCUAGAACUCAGGCCUGUCUAGACCCAGGGCCCACCCAUGCUGUCUUCAUUGCCAUACUCUACUUCCUCGAGCAGGUUUCCCACUGCUGCUGUAACGAAUUACCACAAACACCCUGAGGGUUACAAACACCAUGCAUCAUCAUCCUGCAGUACUGUGGUCAAAUAUUGAAACGGUCUCACUGGACUAACACCAAGCUGUCUACAGAGCUGUCUUCCUCUCUGCAGGCUCUGGAAGGGAAUCCAUGUCCUUGACUUUUCCAGCUUCUAGAAGGUGCUCACAUGCCGUGGUUCCUGGCCUUCCUCCUCCGUCUUCAAAGCCAGCAACAGCAGGUAAGCUGCCACCUUCCUCACGACCUGUCCCUGAGGUUUGCCUGCACCCUGGGAUGGGAGAAUAUGAAAGGUUCACAAUGCUUUAAGAAGAAGACUCGGUAUGGGAACUGGAAGUGAUACAGUUUCAGAUGGCCCAUUCUUGCGCUUCUCCUUUUCCAGAACAUGCUGAACAGGCCCCAGUACAGUGUUCAGGCCUCAUUCCCACAAUGCCUUGCUCUGAACUAGAACCCAUCAAAGCUACUAUUUCCCUAUACACAAUGGAAGCUUAAAACAGUAUGUUAAUAACUGAUCUGAAAAACUAAAAAAAAUCCUUAAGAACCACAGGAAUGAAUUUAAAGUAGAUCUUUCAGAUAAAGGAUAAGGUUCCCUGUGUUUACGGUUGCAACAUAACAUAUAGGAUGUCCUGUCAAAUUUGAAUCUUGGACAAAAAAACAAAUAAUUUUCUAGGCCAGGCAGAAUGGCCCACACCUGUAAUCCCAGCACUUUGUGGGGCUGCGGUGGGAGGAUCACUUGUGCCCAGGAGUUUGAGACCAGCCUGGGCAACAUAAUGAGACCCCAUCUAUACAAAAGUUAGCCAGAUGCGGUGGUGUGCACCUGUAGUCCCAGCUACUCAAGAGGCUGAGGUGGGAGGAUUACUUGAGCCCAUUAGUUUGAGGCUGCAGUGAGCUAUGAUCACACCACUGCACUCCAGCCUGGUUGACAGUGCAAGACUGCAACUCAAAAUAAUAAUAUAAUUUUUUAGUCCCAAAUAUUGAAUGAAAUAUACUUAUACUAAAAAUUUAUUUGUUGCUCAUCUGAAAUUGAUAUUUACUGGGUGUAUUGUUAUUAGAUAAAUCUGACACCCCUAUCUACCUGAACCCACUCAAAUUACACUAUACAAGCAGCUCUACAUUUCUCCCAUCCAAAGGCCAGACAUGUUUCCAAGGUCCACUGUUCGCUAGCCUGGCAGAGAACACUUCAUAGCCAUCUGCAAACACUAAUAAUUGUUACCAGUAAUUUUUAAAGCCACUGUAAAGCCAUCACUUUUCAUGUGUUAUUUCCACUUAUAUAUAUUAUAAUCCUCCAAAUAGCCCUGCAAGGAAGAAACUCAGUCUCAGAGAGUAACUUGCCUAUGGUCACCCAGCCACUGAAAUGCAGACUGAAAAUGCAAACCUAGGUCUGCCUGCCAGCAGAUGCCAAAGUCAUCCCCCUCCCCAAUUCCACUCCCAGCCAUGCCCAUGGGGUCCAGGGCUCUCACACAGGGAACCAGGCCUCUGCCCCUUCACAAAGUUUCCAUGGUUUCGCUAUCCACACAUUUGCAUUAUCGGUGCCACAGUUCUCUUUCUCUGGCAUUAAUAAAGUCAUAUUUGAAACUUG